rnacentral:tRNA from 1 species
GGGUGGUCCCGCCAGCUGUGACUAGCGGUCAUCCUUGCCUUACAAGCAGGGGGUCGUUGGUUCGAGUCCGACUGCGCCCACCA